CACAUUCCAGCAAUAAAAAUUUUUUUUAGCGUUAAAACCGUGAGUUUGGGACGUACUACCAUAUGCAGGGUAUAAAUACAAGAACUGUCAGAAACAACAUGCAGGGCACUGAUCAAGAAAUUGAAAUUUAUAUCAAAAGAUGGCUCCAUUGGGCUGGGGACCGAGAUGGAGGCAGACGAAGAAGAGAAGAGAGGCGACAGGCUUCCAACACUCCUUCCUGUCUGGAUGACACUGAGCUUGGAUGGGCCUAGCCUGGGCAUAGAUCAAGAUGGAGAGCAUGCUGGGGCCUGAGGGAAGCCUAUGUCUGCAACAAAGCUGUCAGUUUUUAAUUAACUUUUUUCUUUGAAGUAAUAAAAUGUAACUAGACUGUU